rnacentral:rRNA from 1 species
GACGAACGCUGGCGGCGUGCUUAACACAUGCAAGUCGAACGGAAAGGCCCUGCUUUUGUGGGGUGCUCGAGUGGCGAACGGGUGAGUAACACGUGAGUAACCUGCCCUUGACUUUGGGAUAACUUCAGGAAACUGGGGCUAAUACCGGAUAGGAGCUCCUGCUGCAUGGUGGGGGUUGGAAAGUUUCGGCGGUUGGGGAUGGACUCGCGGCUUAUCAGCUUGUUGGUGGGGUAGUGGCUUACCAAGGCUUUGACGGGUAGCCGGCCUGAGAGGGUGACCGGCAACAUUGGGACUGAGAUGAGGCCCAGACUCCUAAGGGAGGCAGCAGUGGGGAAUAUUGCAAAAUGGGCGGAAGACGGAUGCAGCAACGCCGCGUGCGGGAUGACGGCCUUCGGGUUGUAAACCGCUUUCGCCUGUGACGAAGCGUGAGUGACGGUAAUGGGUAAAGAAGCACCGGCUAACUACGUG